rnacentral:rRNA from 1 species
GACGAACGCUGGCGGCGUGCUUAACACAUGCAAGUCGAACGGAAAGGCCCUGCUUUUGUGGGGUGCUCGAGUGGCGAACGGGUGAGUAACACGUGAGUAACCUGCCCUUGACUUUGGGAUAACUUCAGGAAACUGGGGCUAAUACCGGAUAGGAGCUCCUGCUGCAUGGUGGGGGUUGGAAAGUUUCGGCGGUUGGGGAUGGACUCGCGGCUUAUCAGCUUGUUGGUGGGGUAGUGGCUUACCAAGGCUUUGACGGGUAGCCGGCCUGAGAGGGUGACCGGCCACAUUGGGACUGAGAUACGGCCCAGACGCCUACGGGAGGCAGCAGUGGGGAAUAUUGCACAAUGGGCGGAAGCCUGAGGCAGCAACGCCGCGGGCGGGAUGACGGCCUUCGGGUUGUAAACCGCUUUCGCCUGUGACGAAGCGUGAGUGACGGUAAUGGGUAAAGAAGCACCGGCUAACUACGUG